rnacentral:lncRNA from 1 species
CUGGGACAUUCAUUUUAUUUUCAUUGUAAGAUAGGUUACUUGCCUUACUGUUUGGUAUUGUUUAUUCUGGUGUCUGUACAUGGUUUUGAUUAUAUUAAUUAGAUUAUUGGCCAAAUUCUACUGCUGUAAAUCAAAAUUGCUCUUCUGACUCCAGUGAAUGACAGUGACUUAUACCAGCUGAUGAUCUACCCUUCAAUGCCUCACAAAUACAGGAAAAAGACUUUGCAAACCUUAUACAAAGUUUGUUUGUGAAAAUGUUACAAUUUAUUGCAGUUUUGCAAAUGGAUAGAAUUUCUUGCUGUAAAUACUUUAAUUGCUAUUAUAAAACGAAUUGAAAUUUAAUUAAAGAUGAAAAAAAGCACAGUGGAAAUUUUUAAAAGGACAAAACCAGCGAGAAACACUCCCAGAUUUGAAUGUCAUUUCAACAGUAAUCGGAACCAACAUCUGAAAUGUGUUACAUAAUUUUAAACAUAUACUAAAAAUUAUUUUCUUCCAGCUUAGAGCAAGUGCAGACUCAAGAGCUGUUCCAAAGUUUUCAGUUAUUUUCCCCCUCAAUCUCUAGACGUAAACAAACAAGAAUGCUAAUUAAAAAUGUUACUUCAGGCAAUAAUCUUGUCAAAGUAGUUAAAGAGGGUUAGACUCAAUCAUCAGAAGGUAGGGUAACUUCUAGAGAAAGCAUACAUCAUGAAAACACAGUGCAUUUAUUCAAGCAGUCCUCUAACAGUUUGGAUCCAGUGCCAUGGACGUUAUUGAAAAAUAUAACUUUUGCUCUUAAUGAGACAAUCAAAUAUGUGUUUGCUUCUUUUAAUGUAUAUAAUGAACAUGACACUGUUCCAAAAUGCAUUUAUGAUACUAAAUAACUGGGCAGGUUUUAUCAGAGAUUGUUGUACUCUUAAUUCCUUAAAUUUUCCUUGUUUCUCAGAGGCUGUUACCACUGGCACCACGUGUUGUUUCUCCACCAUGGCUGCAGUUUUACUGGGGCUUAUGAAGUGUUCUGUACAAAAGGGAAAAGGUACAAACUUUCGAACAACUCCUGAGCCUGGAAUCUUUUGUACAACUCGAGCGGAUCAAACGUGUGAUCCUGCCUGUGCACAGUUCAAGACUCUAGCAAUGACUCUGAGGGAGGCUUGGAAGCUCUCACUGGCAGAAGGACUUCCACCCCUACAGCCAGUGGCACAGACAGUCCAAGGAAAGGCAAAGUGCUCCAGAUUUUGUGACCAGGCUGAAGUGCCCUCUCUGAGGAACCCUGGAGGAGGGAAAGGUGGAGACAACCUGGAGAUGGCACAGUGCCUUUGGGUUCAUUUCCUCACCAGUUCCUUGUGAUACAAGAUAUUUCCUUACAAAUGUUUGAUGAUAUUUACACAGUGAUUUCAGACAAUGACUGGCCAUAGCUCAUCUCAAGUGACAUAAUUGUUCAAGUGACAGUACAGAUUCUCUACUUGAAUCAUUGCUGUUGAGAGAGACAGACAGCAUUCCCAUUAAGGCUUUG